rnacentral:rRNA from 1 species
GAUGAACGCCGGCGGUGUGCCUAAUACAUGCAAGUCGAACGCGUUGGCCCAAUUGAUUGACGGUGCUUGCACCUGAUUGAUUUUGGUCGCCAACGAGUGGCGGACGGGUGAGUAACACGUAGGUAACCUGCCCAGAAGCGGGGGACAACAUUUGGAAACAGAUGCUAAUACCGCAUAACAACGUUGUUCGCAUGAACAACGCUUAAAAGAUGGCUUCUCGCUAUCACUUCUGGAUGGACCUGCGGUGCAUUAGCUUGUUGGUGGGGUAACGGCCUACCAAGGCGAUGAUGCAUAGCCGAGUUGAGAGACUGAUCGGCCACAAUGGGACUGAGACACGGCCCAUACUCCUACGGGAGGCAGCAGUAGGGAAUCUUCCACAAUGGGCGCAAGCCUGAUGGAGCAACACCGCGUGAGUGAAGAAGGGUUUCGGCUCGUAAAGCUCUGUUGUUAAAGAAGAACACGUAUGAGAGUAACUGUUCAUACGUUGACGGUAUUUAACCAGAAAGUCACGGCUAACUACGUGCCAGCAGCCGCGGUAAUACGUAGGUGGCAAGCGUUAUCCGGAUUUAUUGGGCGUAAAGAGAGUGCAGGCGGUUUUCUAAGUCUGAUGUGAAAGCCUUCGGCUUAACCGGAGAAGUGCAUCGGAAACUGGAUAACUUGAGUGCAGAAGAGGGUAGUGGAACUCCAUGUGUAGCGGUGGAAUGCGUAGAUAUAUGGAAGAACACCAGUGGCGAAGGCGGCUACCUGGUCUGCAACUGACGCUGAGACUCGAAAGCAUGGGUAGCGAACAGG